GGGGGCUCCCCCGCCGAGGAGAGCGCGUCCUGUCAGGGAGGGCCGCGGCCCGCGCUGUGGCGAGCGGCCCUCAAGUGCCUUCAUACGCCUUUAUUUUCUCCAGGGACCCAUCUAGUUUGCAAGCUUGCAGUGAGACGUUCAUAAGCAGCGGUGCAGCUAAUCCAAGGAAUCCCAAAACCACGUGUCAGACUUCAAAGCAUGGUUACAGAGUUCUCCAGCGCUGUGUACCUGCGCAACACCUCCAAGUGGGAAUUUCGCUAGCUAUAGCCAAGCUUACAAAGGAAGGCAUGUGGCAACCUCAGUUUUGCAUGAAAAGAGGCAGGCAGGAAAAAAGUCACAAGAUCCUUUACAAGGUCUUUCUGCAGAAGAGAGAAUAA
rnacentral:lncRNA from 1 species